GGUGUUCAAAACCAAACCAACCCAAUAGAAAAUCGCAAAUCAAACCAAACCAAACCAAAACCGCAUUUGGUUCGGAUCCGUUUGGGUCAUUCUCUAACAAAACCGUACGGUUUGGUUUGGUUUGCGGUUUGUAUUUUUCAAACCGAACUAAACCAAACCAAACCGCAUUAUGUUACAACUCAAACUUCAAUUAUCCCACAUACAAUC
rnacentral:lncRNA from 1 species